rnacentral:rRNA from 1 species
CGUACGAGAAGCCAAUUAGCUUGCUAAGAGGCGGACAGUGGCGAAAGGGAGAGUAACGCGUGGUUACGUGCCCUCGAGACCGGGAUAGUGUUGGGAAACCGGCAGUAAUACCGGAUAAUAUCUUCGGAUCAAAGGUGUGAUUCCGCUCGAGGAUCGGACCGCGUACUAUUAGCUUGUUGGCGGGGUAACGGCCCACCAAGGCUGCGAUGGUUACCGGGUGUGAGAGCAUGGCCCGGCUCACUGGGACUGAGACACUGCCCAGACACCUACGGGUGGCUGCAGUCGAGAAUCUUCGGCAAUGGACGAAAGUCUGACCGAGCGACGCCGCGUGCGGGAUGAAGGCCCUCGGGUUGUAAACCGCUGUCAGUUAGGAGGAAAUCCAUGAGGGUUCUCUCUCAUGGUUGACCGAUUUUCAGAGGAAGGACGGGCUAAGUUCGUGCCAGCAGCCGCGGUAAGACGAACCGUCCAAACGUUAUUCGGUAUCACUGGGCUUAAAGCGUGCGUAGGCGGCUUGGUAGGUGAGAUGUGAAAGCCCACGGCCCAACCGUGGAACUGCGUUUCAAACCAUCAAGCUAGAGGGAGAUAGGGGUGAUGGGAACUUAUGGUGGAGCGGUGAAAUGCGUUGAUAUCAUAGGGAACACCGGUGGCGAAAGCGCAUCACUGGAUCUUUUCUGACGCUGAGGCACGAAAGCUAGGGUAGCGAACGGGAUUAGAUACCCCGGUAGUCCUAGCUGUAAACGAUGAGCACUGGGUUGAGGGGGCUAUCACAUUCUCUCGGCCGUAGCGAAAGCGUUAAGUGCUCCGCCUGGGGAGUAUGGUCGCAAGGCUGA